CCAGAAAAGUUACUCCGUGAUAGCUUUUAAUAGUAGGCUCAAAGUGUCCUGCUAGUCGGCCCGCCCUGCCCUUCCCUUUCGUUCUCUCUUCCAAGAGAACCUUGCUAGGGGCGGUCACCGGCGACACUGUCAAAUUGCGGGGAGGCCCUUAGAGCUUGAGAUACCGCGGCCCGCCGAAAGGUUGGGCGUCAGCACCAGGGUAAUGACCUCGGGGAUGGUAACAACUCUCAAGAUUAGGUUAUCCGCAGCCAAGUCCUAAGGGGACCACGCCGGUCCUAUGGAUGCAGUUCAUCGACUAGAUGGCAGUGGGCUCCUCUCUGCCUACCCGGCAGAUGGGGCUUAAGAUAUAGUCAGUCCCGCCAGAGAUGGCGCC
rnacentral:ncRNA from 1 species